UGGUCUGUGUGUGUGUGAAUUUCCCCAGAAACUAAGAACCAUCAUAAACCUCGCCACCUUCCACUCCAAGUGCAAGGCUCAUUUCUUUGAUGUCACCUUCUCUGACACCCA